AGGAGUAUACACCCAUUGCCCAAGGCAUCAACCAGUUAUAUGGAUUGGUUUCCGGCGUACGUUUUUAGUUAUAUUUUCAGGGUUUGGUACACGAGUAGAAGCAGAAGCAGAACUAGAAUUUUAACUUUAUGCGUUUAGAUUUUAGAGGCUUACUUUAAAUGCUAAUAGUUGGGUUUUAAAUUUAAUAUAUGUGCAUAUUUGUUAUAGUAUGUUAGUUGCAAAUAUAGUCUAGAUACAUUUACCAGAUUAAUCCAGAUACAUUUAGCAGAUUCUGUAAUAUUCUGUUUCAUUUGUUUUGAUUUCUUUCCUUAGAUAGAUUUCUUGUAACUGUAUAAAUUCCUUUCAUAUUCAUGAAUAGAAAUCAUCAGCUUUUACAAUUAAAUUACAUGGUAUCAGAGUCGCUAGGGCUCAAUUUAUUCUCAGAACUUUCUCCGGCGUCAGGGUGGGCAGCGAGUGAGUCACACGCGCCACCUCCACCUCGUGACUAUCUCUCAAGUUCCGGCGUCAUCUUGUCAAUUCCAACAUAUUUCAGGUGUUCUUUUCUUUCCGAUGUUAAAACAUUGUUUGGGAUUUAUUCUUCACGUCCAGGUUGGCCUUUUUUUCCCUUAUACUUCUAAGACAGUCGAUUUGGUAAUUUAUUUUGUACUUUUGCUAUUGCUGGACUCUGUUCGGAUGUCAGAUUGCUAUUGUUUUGUGGGUAUCACUGCUGAUUCAUUUGGUAUCAUUUACAUCUUGCUCUUAUCUACAAGUUUUGGGUGUCAAAUUAUUUACUUUUGCAUCUAUUUAUCAGUUUCUUGACUAAGCAUCAAUUAAAAUGUCUAAUGAUACAACUUCCGUGACUCAAAUAGUUUUAGCAUUAUCUAAAAUUACAGAGUAUCAAUUAAAUGGGUCUAAUUAUUUAGAUUGGAGUAGGAAAAUAGGGGUAUAUUUAUGUAGCAUUGAAAAAGAUGGCCAUCUUAUUCAGGACCCUCCAACUGAUGGAACUAAAAAGGUUGGAUGAGAGAUGACGCUAGAUUACUCCUGCAAAUAAUAAACUCUAUUGAUAAUGAAGUAGUUGGUUUGGUUAAUCACUGUGAGUUCGUUAAGGAGUUAAUGGAUUAUCUGGAGCAUCUAUAUUCCGGCAAAGGUAAUGUAUCUCGGAUUUAUGAAGUUUGUAAGGCUUUCUAUCGUCCUGAGAAGGAAGCUAAGUCACUCACCACGUAUUUCAUGGAGUUCAAGAAAACUUAUGAGGAAUAGAACGUGAUUUUGCCAUUCAGUACAGAUAUCAAAGUGCAACAAGCUCAAAGGGAACAAAUGUCAAUAAUGAGUUUCUUAUUUGGACUUCCCUCUGAGUUGGAGGCUGCUAAAUCACAGAUUCUCUCCAGUUCUGACACCACUUCUCUGAAAGAUAUUUUCAGUCGGGUGUUGCGCACAGAGAGUACUCCAUCCACCGAGCAGAUCAAUGUAUUUGUUACGAAAGGGAAAGGAAGAAAUGAUGCUAAGAGGUGGAACAAUAACAAUGAUGCUGGAAAGUGGAGCAAUAACAAUGAUGCUAGGCGGUGGAACAGUAAUAAAGGAAGAGACAACGACAUUAUUUUCCGCAACUGUAAGGAACCUGGACACAUGAAAUGAAGCUGUAAGAAAUUACAGAUUCAUAAUCAAAGAGCCCAAACUGCCAAUAUAAUGUUGUUGCUGCUUCUAACUCAUCCUUAGAGAAAACUGUUACAAUCUCAGCCGAUGAAUAUGGCAAAGUUUCUCAAUAUCAGAAAUUAAUGAAAGGAUGUACUCCAUUUAUAUCUCUUGCUGAGUCACGUAACAAAUGUCUUAUUUCCUAUUCAAAUAAAUGGGUUAUUGAUUCUGGUGUCACAGAUCACAUGACAGGAUCUUAUGACGAAGUAGAUUAUUGGUAAAGGGCAUGUAUUUGAUAGUCUCUACAUCCUUGAUACAUGAGUGCCCGGUCAGUUGGUUGCUCAAGUGUUGUCUCGCCAUUUGAAGCACAUUGUCGGUUGAGACAUCCUUCUCUACCUGUUUUGAAGAAGUUAUGCCCCCAAUUUCAUGAUGUACAUGUGGUAGAAUGUGAGUCUUGUCACUUUAUAAAACAUCAUCGAAGCUCGUUAGGUCCUUGAAUUAAUAAACAAGCUGAUUUUGCUUUUGAAUUAGUUCAUUCAAACAUUUUGGGACCAUGUCCAGUUGCGUCUAAAGGUUGUUUAAGAUAUUUUGUUA